UCCACCGAAAAUUAUGAAGCAUAUAUCGAAUGAAGCAUCGAACAGAGUCAUCCUUCAUGGUCGACUCAAUGUAAGCAGCUGGCAUGUCAGAUUAAGCAAAUCUAUCCAAGGCACAUUCCUGUCAGCUGGAUGGCCAAACUCUGUGAAAGACUACUCUUUGAAGAAACAUGAAUUCCUACUGUUUUGAUAUGCUGGAAAUAUGCAUUCAAUGUUCUAAUCUUUGAUAAAACUGCAUGUGAGAAAGAGGAUGAGCUUUCGGUUAAAACCUGUGAAGAAUCCAAGCUUUGUGAAGGAUAGAAGAAAUCAGGUGGACCAGUGAAGCAUUAUUUGGAUGAUGGUUUCCAUGCACAGCUUGCCAAAAAUUAAACGUGAGUUGGAGGAGCUUUUCACAGAUAAUGUUCAUGCAUCUGAGCAGAGAAAAGAUUCUUACUCUAAUAUAGCUAAAAGCUGAAGUGAUAAUGUCCCAAGCGGUAUGCUUGGUUUAAGCUUCAAAGGCUAAAUGCACCAAGGGCUACUUGUCAAGAUGACGACCUGUGAUAGAAGAAGAAGGACAAAAAGCAAAGGAGGUGGCUUAUGCAUUCAGCUCCUAGUUUUCUUAUUUUAUUUAAUCAUGGCGACAACCAACGCAUACAAGUCAUUUGCACUGAUACUUUGUAAUUCUUCAUGGGGGCACAUUUCUCCAGGGAAGAACGAACUUGGUCCUCCAGGACACAGAUGGGAAGCUUGGGUGGUAGUCUAUGUUCUAAGCAUGAAAACAAAAUAUCUGCAGGGUGGACUACCUUUGCACUUGGCAACCCCACGUUAAGGAUGGGGACUUGUGCAUUGGAGCUAGUAGGACCUAUUCAUGAGUUGCAUGUCCAUAUCUUCAGGAAAAUAUCUAUCAUCUCUUAAACCAUGUGAGCACAUUAAAAUCAAGGCUGAAAACGAUGAUGUUCAAAUUGGUAUGCUUGGUUCAAAGGCUAUAUGCGCCAAGGGCUGGUUGUCAAGACAAUGACCUGAGACAGAAGAAGAAAGACAAAAAGCAAAGGAGGUGGCUUAUGCCUUCCACUCCCACUUUUCUUAUUUUAUUUACACAUGGCAGCAACCAACGUGUGCAAGUCAUUUACAUUAAUACCUUGUAAUUCUUCGUGGGAGCACAUUUCUCCACUAAAGAACGAGCUUGGUCCUCUGGGACCCAGAUGGGAAGGCUUGGGUGGUAGUCUAUGUUCUAAGCAUGAAAACAAAAUAUCCGCAGGGUGGACUACCUUUGCACUUGGCAACCCCACCUCGAGUUGCAUGUCCAUAUCUUCAGGUUAGUGGAGGAUACUAAACCACUAAUUGGGGUGUAGGGAAUCUGUCUGGCUCGAGGUGUGAAGAUCUGCUAUGCAUUGUACUUCUUUUGUUUAGAAACUACUGUUGAUAUGACCAGCUCUGACUGCUUUUACCAGUGCCUGGAUGAUUAUUGUUCUGACGUUUUCCAUGUAUUUCUUCUUCAGCAUUCCAUCUCGACCUAAUAUAUUUGAGAAUGCCCAAAAAUUUAUAGUUGGGCAUGGUAGGGUUUUGGCUUGCUAUUGCCAUUAUAAAGUGGAUAUGGACAUGCUGAUUUGCAUUUUCCACUUUCAAUUUUUGAUUGUUUUGUCUGAGACACUGUGCUAUUUCAUCAUCUAACCAAGUGAACCAAACAUUGA